UGAGCGGCGGACGGGUGAGUAACGCGUGGGUAACCUGCCUCAUACAGGGGGAUAACAGUUAGAAAUGGCUGCUAAUACCGCAUAAGACCACGGUACUGCAUGGUACAGUGGUAAAAACUCCGGUGGUAUGAGAUGGACCCGCGUCUGAUUAGGUAGUUGGUGGGGUAACGGCCUACCAAGCCGACGAUCAGUAGCCGACCUGAGAGGGUGACCGGCCACAUUGGGACUGAGACACGGCCCAA
rnacentral:rRNA from 1 species